GAGUCCUUGGUGUACGGAAACACACAUCCUGUUUGUGCUUGACUGUCCACGUCGACUGAAACUUUAGGAUGAGACCGGGGUUCAACUCCCCGAGGACACA